ACAUAGAAAAGGCAGUCUGCA
rnacentral:miRNA from 1 species